rnacentral:ncRNA from 1 species
AUAAUACAUCGGUACGUCGGUGCCCAACGGUUCAACCCGAGGGCCUAACAGGGAACACAGCAAAACUGUGGCUGCCCCCGCAAUUGUACGCAGCGAGUCCGCGCUCCACUGCCACUGGUUUUUACCGGGAAGGCCGGCGCGGGCGCAGACCUGCCAGCCAAGAGACCUGCCGACUCACGCUUUCCACGC